rnacentral:rRNA from 1 species
CGAGUGGCGAACGGGUGAGUAACACGUGGGUGAUCUGCCCUGCACUUCGGGAUAAGCCUGGGAAACUGGGUCUAAUACCGGAUAGGAGCCAUUUUUAGUGUGAUGGUUGGAAAGUUUUUUCGGUGUAGGAUGAGCUCGCGGCCUAUCAGCUUGUUGGUGGGGUAAUGGCCUACCAAGGCGGCGACGGGUAGCCGGCCUGAGAGGGUGGACGGCCACAUUGGGACUGAGAUACGGCCCAGACUCCUACGGGAGGCAGCAGUGGGGAAUAUUGCACAAUGGGCGCAAGCCUGAUGCAGCGACGCCGCGUGGGGGAUGACGGCCUUCGGGUUGUAAACUCCUUUCGCUAGGGACGAAGCUUUUUGUGACGGUACCUAGAUAAGAAGCACCGGCUAACUACGUGCCAGCAGCCGCGGUAAUACGUAGGGUGCGAGCGUUGUCCGGAAUUACUGGGCGUAAAGGGCUCGUAGGUGGUUUGUCGCGUCGUCUGUGAAAUUCCGGGGCUUAACUCCGGGCGUGCAGGCGAUACGGGCAUAACUUGAGUACUGUAGGGGUAACUGGAAUUCCUGGUGUAGCGGUGAAAUGCGCAGAUAUCAGGAGGAACACCGAUGGCGAAGGCAGGUUACUGGGCAGUUACUGACGCUGAGGAGCGAAAGCA